GCGCCAUCCAUGGAUAUCAUCAGAUGGGUUCUUAUCUCAACUGCAGUUCGAAUUACAGAGGAAUGCAUUUAUAAGCAGCCCCAGGUGUGUCUACAGUUAGCAUCUCUAAGUUCUCUAUUGUCAUUCAGAUGGAUUCAUCGGUUGUGACUCUUUCAAGCCAGUGCCUUAGAGUGAUUAGCUGGAAAUUUUGACAGUUUCAUGUUCUGAGCAUAGAGGAGCACAACCAUGCAUCUUGAUCAUUUAUCAGAGGCUUUGUGAACUUAUAAAGUACCCUGUUUUUCUAGGGAAGCACAAGUAUGAGAUGGAACAAUUAGUGUUACUAAUUAAUUUGUGCUUCUAUUUCUAUUCGUACUACUAAAUGUUUUAGCAUGUAAACUCAUUAUCUAUGUGUAUGUGUGUGUUCAAAUUGAUAGAGAUGCUGAAUGCUCAUUCAAGGCCAAAGGCUCGUCUGGGGGACAUAUGUGGACUCCUGAGUCCAGACUGCUAGUCCUGCGCGAUGUCAAUGGAUCAGCUCUUUUAUUUACAAGAUCUAUGUGUUGAUGAAACCUGUAGAUAGCAAUUGCGUACAAACUGUAGAUAAAAAUUGCUGUUGUGUUCUUGCUCGUGCAAUUUAUUUGUACAGUCGAUUAAUUGAAGAUCAACCGUUUCCAAAUGCAGUGCGGCCUGAUGUCUGAGUGGCUUGUCAAAUGUUACAAUGUUAUAAAGCUUUAUUUGAAAAAUGAUUCUACCCAGUGAA